GUUGGUGUAUUGCAUUGUUUUAGCCAUUGGAUUUGACCCAAAACUCACAAAAUGACUCCUAACACCAUAUUAUGAUGUUCCCCAAGUUUUGGACUCAAUCCGAUAUCGAUUGGUUCAUGAAACUGGACAAUUUAGGUUCGUACGAAGUUCGUUACGAAAUAGAGUGGUUGGUGUAUUGCACAAUUUCAGCCAUUGGAUUUCACUCAAAAC
rnacentral:lncRNA from 1 species